rnacentral:rRNA from 1 species
ACUACGGGUGGCAGCAGUGAGGAAUAUUGGUCAAUGGGCGCGAGCCUGAACCAGCCAAGUAGCGUGAAGGAUGACUGCCCUACGGGUUGUAAACUUCUUUUAUAAAGGAAUAAAGUGAGGCACGUGUGCCUUUUUGUAUGUACUUUAUGAAUAAGGAUCGGCUAACUCCGUGCCAGCAGCCGCGGUAAUACGGGGGAUCCGAGCGUUAUCCGGCUUUAUUGUGUUUAAAGGGGGCGUAGAUGGGUUGUUAAGUCAGUUGUGAAAGUUUGCGGCUCAACCGUAAAAUGGCAAUUGAAACUGGCAGCCUUGAGUACAGUUGAGGUAGGCGGAAUUCGUGGUGUAGCGGUGAAAUGCUUAGAUAUCACGAAGAAGUCCGAUUGCGAAGGCAGCCUACUAAACUGCCACUGACAUUGAUGCUCGAAAGUGUGGGUAUCAAACAGGAUUAGAUACCCGAGUAGUC